UACGUAGGGGGCAAGCGUUGUCCGGAAUCAUUGGGCGUAAAGAGCGUGUAGGCGGCCUGAUAAGUCGGCUGUGAAAGUCAAGGGCUCAACCCUUGAAUGCCGGCCGAUACUGUCAGGCUAGAGUCCGGAAGAGGCGAGUGGAAUUCCUGGUGUAGCGGUGAAAUGCGCAGAUAUCAGGAGGAACACCGGUGGCGAAGGCGGGUCUCUGGGCCGAUGACUGACGCUGAGGAGCGAAAGCGUGGGGAGCAAACAGG
rnacentral:rRNA from 1 species